rnacentral:rRNA from 1 species
GACGAACGCUGGCGGCGUGCUUAACACAUGCAAGUCGAACGAAGAGCGAUGGAAGCUUGCUUCUAUCAAUCUUAGUGGCGAACGGGUGAGUAACGCGUAAUCAACCUGCCCUUCAGAGGGGGACAACAGUUGGAAACGACUGCUAAUACCGCAUACGAUCCGACCUCGGCAUUGAGGAUGGAUGAAAGGUGGCCUCUAUUUAUAAGCCAUCACUGAAGGAGGGGAUUGCGUCUGAUUAGCUAGUUGGGGGGGUAAGGGGCCACCAAGGCAAUGAUCAGUAGCCGGUCUGAGGGGAUGAACGGCCACAUUGGGACUGGGACACGGCCCAGACUCCUACGGGAGGCAGCAGUGGGGAAUCUUCCGCAAUGGACGAAAGUCUGACGGAGCAACGCCGCGGGAGUGAUGACGGCCUUCGGGUUGUAAAGCUCUGUUAAUCGGGACGAAAGGUCUUCUUGCGAAUAGUUAGAAGAAUUGACGGUACCGGAAUAGAAAGCCACGGCUAACUACGUG